AUCUAAUCAGAUAUUAAUUGUUGGUGAUACAAUUUUAAUAUAUUUCCAUCCCUCAAAAUCAUCCAUAUAUGAAAAUGGAUAAAUAUCUGUAGUCUAGUUACAUACUUCUAAUGAACAUAGUAUAGCCAUCAGAAUUGGAGAAACAGAGAAGGGUUUGAGGCAGAACAUUCUAGUGAAUCCUUAAAAAGACUAGUAAAUGAAUUUGUCCAAACUUGUAUACAUCUAGGAUUAAAUUUUUAACUAAAUUCAAAGAACACCUAUUCUACUUCCGCAAGAGCAUAUUUUCUAUAGUCACUGGAAUUUCUUUCCGAAAUAAAAUAACACAUUUUGAGUAAAUAAUUAACGUCUGGGCUGGUUGGGGCUGAUAAAGGCCUUUCUAGAAUGAUCUUAAACUCCCAUAGCACCGUUUCCUUGGAAACAACAGAGCUCAAAUAAAUGAGAAUGUAAUAUCAGCCUCAUUCAUCAAGCAAAACUACACCUGCAUUAGGGAAAAUAUGAAUUGGCAUCCAGGCCUGAGGCUUGCAUGACUGAAAAAGUAUUAAUGAUUGGUGGGAAAUAGAGGACACAGCUUCUAUCAUAUUGCUCUUGUCCAUGAGGUUGUACAUAGCUCAUUCGAGGGGAAGGCAAAGGAAACUGUGUACGUGGCUAUAGUUAAAUUAGAUGUGACCACAGAUGGAGGAAGCCUGGCAUCUGCAUCACAACAUGGAAGGAGUGAUCUGCCCAUGGGGAACAAUGCUUUGAUGUCUGAUAACUGAUUGCAUCCACUGCUGGAGCUCCAUUCUCACUGAUGGGGUUAGAGGUUGGAAGAGCACUUAAAUAUGUCCCUUCAAGGUUCUCAUGGCUGCUCCUCUUUAGAACAGCAUCCAUUUCUGAAUACUUGCUUGCUAGUUGUCCAGCUUUUCCAUCAUCUAAACACUGUUUAUCUGAAUGUUUCAGCUGUUUUCUAAGACCUUCAAUAAGACAGGUUGCAGCACUCUGCAAUUACAAGCUGCUAUUUAGAUGUGCUCUCCACCAUACAUUCACGAUUGUUUCUCACCAUUUUGUGUUUGAAGCUACAAUGGCAAUCAGACCCCCUCCUUCUAAACUAGAUGAAGCUGCACAGGAGAGGAGAGUAGCAGUCACUCAUUUCACUAAGUAGCCAUACUAGUGUUCACCUCAUGAGAUAUGAUUGGGUUCCUCACUGGCUCAGUUGCUUUCCCUCAAAUUAGCCCUGAGAAGUGAAUGACAGGAAGCCAGCAACGCAAACCAGAAUGGCAGGCUGAGGAAGAAAGCCAUUUAAGCCUCAGGCUAAGUCAAAUACAGGUAAGGCCAGAACCCUGCCGGUAGGGCACUUUAUUACCAGCACCUGCAGCCUCUUUCCCAUCCUGCUAAGUGUUGAGCCCCUAUCUGAAAUGGCACCAUAGUUUGUUCAGGAGAAGGGAGACAACUAUAGUGAAUCACUCAUCUACCACCUCCAUGCCCACCCACCACCUUUUGGGGUCAUACAGCAGACAAAAAUCAGGCAGAUACUUCUUGUCCCCUGACAGGGUACCAGCCCAUGUUCUUUACCCAACCAAAGAGAUAGAAAAUAAUUCCCCACUCUUUCAGUGGUUUAAGGCUCUCGGUUAUUCUUAGUUUAUUGACAAGUGUGUGUGUGUGUGUGUGUGUGUGUGUGUGUGUGUGUGUAUACAAAAAGCAAGAGCUUUCCCUUGCCUUUUGCUGAUAUGACAAUAACUAGCUAGGCCUGGGGCACCUGGGUUACUCAGUUGGUUAAGCAUCUGACUCUUGAUUUCAUCUCAGGUCACAAUCACAGGGUUGUGAGAUUGAGCCCCAUGUAGGACUGCUUGGGGGUCCAUGACCGCUGGGCAUGGAAACUGCUUGAGAUAUCUCUCCCUCUGCUC
rnacentral:lncRNA from 12 species